AGAAACCCCUCUAAUGCAGAGCAUGCAAACACAUUACAUACACAAUUCCUAUACCUGUAGGUGUGCCGGGAUUCCAUACAUACCUACUGGGCAAACCAGGACAUUUCCGUGCAGUGGGAUAUCGGGGCGUGAUGUCAACAUUCUCCUCCCAGGAAAAGAGAAGUGCCUGACUUUGUGUGAGGUGGAACUGCACGCAAGCACCUUUCAGGCCGCCCUGCCUUCAACUGUCACUGAGACAGCUGUUACAGCUCCAAAUCUAAACCUGGCCUGGCUGUGGGAUCUUCUGAGAUCCCUCAGAAAACUUGCCAUUCGGAAAGAUCAGCUACUCCUACAUCCAAUGAUACAGUACCCGCCAGGCUAAAAUUGGGACCAGAAAUCAGAUAUUCUUAACCAGAGGCUUGUAAUUUUUCUGAGCAAACCUGGAUGCAGAGUGCCUCUCUGGCUCCUGUGCCCACACCCAGCUUCAGAGCGACCCCUGGUGGAUGGUGGACCUGCUGGCUGUUCAGAAAGUCACCUCCAUUACCGUCACUAACAGAGAGGACUGCUGCCCCUGGAGGCAGGACGCGGCAGAGAUUCUCAUCGGAAGCUCCCUGAAGAACAACGGCAACAGUAACCCUCUGUGAGUAGGCUGAGCAAAUAUGUUUACAAUAAACUACUCACAACUCAGUUCUACUAAAGUACUAGUACAUGAAAAGCACAAUGCAACCAAAGAGUACUACUAACACAGUACUAAAGUACUACUAUAAUUGCCACACUGCUACUGUGUAGUUACUGUAGCAGUACUAUUUCAGAACCAAUGGGAUCACCUAAAUAAAGGAUACAUAAAUCCUGUAGGCUAUUGUAUGAAUGACUCCUAAUCUACCUGGCAGGUGUGCUGUGAUCUCAUCCAUUUUACAUUACAUUUACAUUUAAGUCAUUUAGCAGACGCUCUUAUCCAGAGCGACUUACAAAUUGGUGCAUUCACCUUAUGACAUCCAGUGGAACAGAGUGGCUGGGGACUCUGUCACCUUCCAGUGCCACGGGAUGGAGGGACAUCCCAUGGCACUCAUAUACCCACCAAGCACGGGAAAUCAACCCGUGCUUGGUGGGUAUAUGAUGGAUUAGAAUUGGGGUAAAUUCAUAGAGAUGUACUAGAGAGCUCAUCCCCUAUCUUUGCAAUGGCCACUUCUGUGAAAGCAUGGGCAGCACCAUUGAGGGCUGUCCCCAUUUUAAAGUUGACCAUUUCUUCUUCUUCUACUUCUAUGAGUGUAUUGGCAGUACCAAAAUAAACUGAAAAGGUGCAUACCACUACCUACUUUGCUGGAGUGUGUAUAGUUUGAACAGAUAGAUUUACUGCCACCUGCAAUUAUGGAAUGUUUCCUCAGGUGUAUACAGGUAAUUCAUUGGCUGAACCCUCCUACUGACCUACUGUGAUCCUUCCUUAAACCAUUGCAAGUCCUACCCAUUUGUCUACUUCAAAAUGGUGAAAAUCCUCAAUGCACAUGCUGAAACAGGUUUUGGGACACAUGCUCCCUCUAACCAACUCAAUGGGUGAAUUACAUUUCAACACAGUUGAUUCAUGGAAGGCCGAAUCCUAACUUCAAAUCGAUGUAUUUACCUCAAGUUUCAUGCAUUAGGAUUAAGCCUGAAAUGAGUUGACAUGUGGUAGUUUCAACCCUGCUUUUGAGUUGAUUUCCCUCACUUCUCGUCUUCUAUUUCUCCACUGACGAAGAGACCUAUAAUCAAAACAGUACAGACGAAGAGACAUUUGACCAUGAGAAAAUAUCAUUUGAGACACAAUAUUCAGUUGAUACAGUGCAUGGUAAGUUACCCACAUAGUCUGCAUACAAAAUGUUAUGUUUGGGGGAAAUCCAAUACAUUACUGAGUACCACUGUCCAUAUUUUCAAGCAUAGUUGUGGCUGCAAUAUGUUAUGGGUGUGCUUGUAAUGGUUAAGGGCUGGGGAGUGAAUAAAAAAUUAAUUGAAUGGACCUAAUUCUAAAAGAAAACCUGGUUAAUUCUGCUUUCCACCAGACACCGGGAGAUAAAUUCUCCUUUCAGCAGGACAACAACCUAAAACACAAGGACAAAUAUACACUGGAGUUGCUUACCAAGAAGACAGUAAAUGUUCCUUAGUGGCCCGGCUAAAGUUGUGAAUUAAAUCUACGGCAAGACAAAUAUAUGUCAAGAAUUGAAAAUGAUUGUCUAGCAAUGAUCAACAACCAAUUUGAAAGAGCUUGAAGAAUUUUGAAAAGAAUAAUGGCCAAAUUUAGAGCAGGGUGGCCCGCAGAUAAUAUAUUCCCGCAGUUGAUAUUCCCCAAAUUUGACCCGAGGGUUAUAUUAUUAAAAGACUAAAUCCAUAUUAUGGCAAGAACAACUCAAAUAAGCAAAGAGAAACAAAGGUCAGUCAAUCCGGAAAAUGUCAAGAACUUUGAAAGUUUCUUCAAGUGCAGU